ACCUGCGGUAGGACCAUUAUCGUACAACGAGGAAGCCCGAGUGCUGUCGCUGAUCCCCCUUCUGAGGGGGGUCGUGCACGCCCUCGGUGCCUUCCUCAUACAAUCAAUCCAUCUUACCCUUUGUGCAUCACCGCCGUGGGCCCGGUAACGGGCCUGCGCCUUUUACAUACACAUCCUUAGAAUUCACCUUAGAAUGUCAUUUUGCAUUUCUAUGCAAUCAAUACAACUUUCAACAACGGAUCUCUUGGCUCUCGCAUCGAUGAAGAACGCAGCGAAAUGCGAUACGUAAUGUGAAUUGCAGAAUUCAGUGAAUCAUCGAAUCUUUGAACGCACCUUGCGCCCCUUGGUAUUCCGAGGGGUACACCCGUUUGAGUGUCGUGAAAUCCUCAACCCUUCUCCAUUUUUGGAGAAAGGCUUGGAAUUUGGAGGCUUGUGCUGGCCUCUCUUGAAGCCAGCUCCUCUUAAACUCAUUAGCAGGGUUCUCCUUGGCCAGAAUCCCUUGACGUGAUAAAGGUUUUUACGUCUCGAGGGCUUUUUUUUCGCCUGCUUGUAAGGCGCAUUGAUACAGAAACAAAUUGUGAGCCCAUGCAUGCCAUCGAGAGAGAGNCCGCUGAACUAAUCAUAUCAAUAGGAAGGAAAA
rnacentral:sRNA from 1 species